rnacentral:misc_RNA from 1 species
AACCAUAGAAACCUGCGGAGUACCUGCGGAAGGAUCAUUACCGAGUUAGGGUACUCUUCGUGCCCGACCUCCAACCCUUUGUCUACCUGACCAGAUGUUGCUUCGGCAGGCCCGCCGCCCCGCAAGGGGUAGCCGCCGGGGCCCUUAUCGGCUCCGGGUCCGCGCCUGUCGAUGGCCCUCUAUAAACUCUUGCUUAAACCGUGUCGUCUGAGUAAAACAAACAAAUAAAAACAAAACUUU